CUGUCUCUGUGUCUCUCAGCUUCUCUGUCUCUAUGGGUCUCUGCCUCUCUCUUGUUUCCCAACAUCCUUCCCCAGGCCCUGGGGAGCAGAGCUGUGGAGGCAGGGGGCAGUGGGAACAGGACAGUGUCCGGUUCUCACCAAGGACAAUAAGGGCCGGAAAGGGCUGGAGCCAAGGGCUGGCGCAGACUAGCCCUCCCGCCUGCCCUGGGCGCCCCCAGGUCCCGCCCUGUCCCAUUGGUCUUGGAAGGCACCAUAUCCUCGGGUCCCUUUACCUAAUGAUGGUGAUUAGAGACUGUGAUAUCUCUGUCAGGGUUAAUUGGCAGGUCAGGUGUGUAUAGCCUACAACUAGACACCACAGAUAGGCUGAGUGUAAAGCUGCUAUUGGCGCCGACCUGCCUUGUAAAUCCACCCAUUCCUGAGGGAUGGGUCAUUAUUCCCGAGGCACAUACUGCCCCUGGUCCUACACAGUAGGUAACAGCAGAUGCAUUGAUUCCUUAGCACUGCUGGCUCACCUCUGAUCUUCCCCUCACAUACCUAAACCUUAGAAGUAUUUGUUAUCUGCCUGACUCCACCCAAGCCUUCUGAAAGCCUCUGACCCUGAGGGUCAGAGCCAAUAUCCCAGGGCUAUGUGUGUCCUACCCAGUGCUCCCACUCCAGGCAAGGAGAAAAUCAAGGUCUGACUGUACCAUCUAGAACCUUCCCAUAGACCCAGGACCUGUUUUGGACACCCUCCAUCCCUCCUUCAGAGCGCUCUACACGCCACACUUCAACCUCACUAGAUGAGCUUUCAACUGCCAGGCUCAGAAAGACUCUGUGAUCUCUACUGAAAAUUCUGUCCAACUCCUAGCCCAGGAACAGGAAGUGAUGCUUCUAGCUUUCCAGUACGGUGCCUGGCCCCUUGAGUUCCCUAGAUUGGCUCCCAAAGAAUUAGAGCACCGCCUAGUCCUUUAGGACCAAUAUGCAGGGAGAGGUCGGCCUGAGUAUCCAGGAUAGAUGGGCUCACAGCGCCCUCUGUCAGCACUUUAUGCAAACUGUGCAGUUCCUCCUCCUGGGCCAGGUAAAGAGUGAUUGACUGGGCAGUGUGGCCUCUUAAUAAUCCUUCACCAGACCUCCUUAGACGCUUGGCUUCAUCUUUACUGAGCCUUAUUCCCUAACCUUUAGGUGCCUCUAAAUGUGUAGGAUUUUGUCCUAGAAGGGUUGAAGGGAGUAGGUUGAAGUAGGUUGAACCUACUUCCCACUCUCAGGCACUACUGAGUAUACAAAAGUGACCAAAAUGGGUGGUUCCUAAAGUUUGGAGCAUCCACUGGGAGAGGGAGGUGGGUGGGUGGGACCUUGGUG
rnacentral:lncRNA from 1 species